rfam:Ovis aries breed Texel chromosome 2, whole genome shotgun sequence.
UCCCUGGUGGCUCAGAUGGUAAAGCGUCUGCCUACAAUGUGGGAGACCCGGGUUCAAUACCUGGGUUGGGAA